rnacentral:rRNA from 1 species
GAUGAACGCUGGCGGCGUGCCUAACACAUGCAAGUCGAGCGGCAGCGCGGGGUGCUUGCACCCUGUCGGCGAGCGGCGGACGGCUGAGUAACGCGUGGGAACGUGCCCCAAAGUGAGGAAUAACUGCCCGAAAGGGUAGCUAAUACCGCAUAUUAUCUUCGGAUCAAAGGAUUUAUCCGCUUUGGGAGCGGCUCGCGUCGGAUUAGGUAGUUGGUGAGGUAAUGGCUCACCAAGCCGCCGAUCCGUAGCUGGUCUGAGAGGAUGACCAGCCAGACUGGAACUGAGACACAGUCCAGAAUCCUACGGGAGGCAGCAGUGAGGAAUCUUCCACAAUGGGCGAAAGCCUGAUGGAGCAACGCCGGGUGCAGGACGAAGGCCUUCGGGUUGUAAACUGCUUUUAUAAGUGAGGAAUAUGACGGUAACUUAUGAAUAAGGAUCGGCUAACUACGUG